rnacentral:lncRNA from 1 species
CACACCCUGCGCUGCCCUGUCCUGCGCGAGUGGAGCUCUGAAGAAGCUCUGAGCGGAGUUGUGUUCUUCCCCAGCUUUAAUAGAAUUGUUCCUAAGAGGCGACUCAGAAAACAUACAGAUUGAAUGCCAAGUUGUGGAAGUCACUUUUCAGCUUGUGUCUAACAACCCAGCAUUCUCAGCAAAGCAGUUUCCUCAUGAGAAGAGUGGAGGAGACCUUUUUUUUAAAAAAAUUAUUUAUUGUAUGUUGUUCGUAUCCUAUACACCACACAUGACUUUUACUGUAUUGGAAAUGUAUUAUUUCAGUGGUAAAUACUGCAUAUCUUACUGAAAAAUUAAAACCUUUUAAAAAACAA